AGUCAACCUACCCUAUGGACGGGAAUAACCUCGGGAAACUGAGAAUAAUGCCCGAUAGAACAUUAUGCCUGGAAUGGUUUAUGUUCCAAAUGAUUUAUCGCCGUAGGAUGGGACUGCGGCCUAUCAGUUUGUUGGUGAGGUAAUGGCCCACCAAGACUAUUACAGGUACGGGCUCCGAGAGGAGUAGCCCGGAGAUGGGUACUGAGACACGGACCCAGGCCCUAUGGGGCGCAGCAGGCGAGAAAACUUUGCAAUGUGUGAAAGCACGACAAGGUUAAUCCGAGUGGUUUCUGCUAAAGGAACCUUUUGACAGUCCUAGAAACACUGUUGAAUAAGGGGUGGGCAAGUUCUGGUGUCAGCCGCCGCGGUAAAACCAGCACCUCAAGUGGUCAGGAUGAUUAUUGGGCCUAAAGCAUCCGUAGCCGGCUCUAUAAGUUUUCGGUUAAAUCUGUACGCUUAACGUACAGGCUGCCGGAAAUACUGCAGAGCUAGGGAGUGGGAGAGGUAGACGGUACUCGGUAGGAAGGGGUAAAAUCCUUUGAUCUAUUGAUGACCACCUGUGGCGAAGGCGGUCUACCAGAACACGUCCGACGGUGAGGGAUGAAAGCUGGGGGAGCAAACCGGAUUAGAUACCCGGGUAGUCCCAGCUGUAAACUAUGCAAACUCAGUGAUGCAUUGGCUUGUGGCCAAUGCAGUGUU
rnacentral:rRNA from 1 species